CCUACGGGAGGCAGCAGUGGGGAAUAUUGGACAAUGGGCGCAAGCCUGAUCCAGCAAUGCCGCGUGUGUGAAGAAGGCCUUCGGGUUGUAAAGCACUUUUAUGAGCAGUGCGGUACCCGAUGAAUAAGCACCGGCUAACUUCGUGCCAGCAGCCGCGGUAAUACGAAGGGUGCAAGCGUUAAUCGGAAUUACUGGGCGUAAAGCGUGCGUAGGCGGUCUUUUAAGUCCGUUGUGAAAGCCCUGGGCUCAACCUGGGAAUGGCAGUGGAUACUGGAAGGCUAGAGUGCGGUAGAGGAGGGUGGAAUCCCCGGUGUAGCGGUGAAAUGCGUAGAGAUCGGGAGGAACAUCAGUGGCGAAGGCGGCCCUCUGGACCAGACUGACGCUGAGGCACGAAAGCGUGGGGAGCAAACAGGAUUAGAUACCCUUGUAGUC
rnacentral:rRNA from 1 species